UACAGAGACUGCAAGCGUUAUUCGGAUUCACUGGGCGUAAAGGGUGCGCAGGCGGCCGUGUGUGUAAGGUGUGAAAUCCCGGGGGCUCAACCCCGGACUGCGCCUUAAACUACAUGGCUAGAGUAUUGGAGAGGGUAGUGGAAUUCACGGUGUAGCAGUGAAAUGCGUAGAUAUCGUGAGGAACACCAGAGGCGAAGGCGACUACCUGGACAAUUACUGACGCUCAGGCACGAAAGCGUGGGGAGCAAAA
rnacentral:rRNA from 1 species